UAUAGAUGCCUGAGGACGAGCCUGCUUCUUACUUACAGAAUAGGUUGUUCAUUUUUGAUAACUGACUGGCAAAAGAGAUUGUACGCUACUGACCCCUAUCGGAGGCUGCUGGUAUUGUUGACAUUUCAAUACCGUUCCAGCUGAUCCCGGAAAGGAGUUGGCUGUUGGUAAAGAUAUACCCACAAAAUGUCAGGCUGUGGCAAUAGGAUGUGAGCUUUGGAGAAGUUAACAGCGGAUUGGUAAUGAAAUUCCAAGGUUUCCACAGCCUCCUGUACUGCCACGAUGAAGCCACACUCACAUUGGAGGAGCAACACCUGAUAUUCCGCCUGGGUAGCUUCCAAUCUGAUGAUGCUGCCUGGCCUGCUGAGCUUCCCCAGCAUUUUGUGUGUGUUGCUUCGAUUUCCAGCAUCUGCAGAUUUUCUCUUGUUUGAAAAUGCUGAGAGAACUCAGUUAACCGUGGAAAGAGAAAACUGUGCAGGGAACGCUUCCUUAGGGUUUGGAAUAUUCAAUGACCCUUACAUUGACUGGUUUUUGUUUUCACAAAUGGUGCUUAAUUGGCCGAGUUCUUUCAGCAUUUCUAAAUUUAUUCUAUUAAAUUUCUCUUCCAA